AUUGAACGCUGGCGGCAGGCCUAACACAUGCAAGUCGAACGGAUGAGGAAAGCUUGCUUUUCGAUUCAGCGGCGGACGGGUGAGUAAUGCCUAGGAAUCUGCCUGUUAGUGGGGGAUAACUCGGGGAAACUCGGGCUAAUACCGCAUACGUCCUACGGGAGAAAGUGGGGGAUCUUCGGACCUCACGCUAACAGAUGAGCCUAGGUCGGAUUAGCUAGUAGGUGAGGUAAUGGCUCACCUAGGCGACGAUCCGUAACUGGUCUGAGAGGAUGAUCAGUCACACUGGAACUGAGACACGGUCCAGACUCCUACGGGAGGCAGCAGUGGGGAAUAUUGGACAAUGGGCGAAAGCCUGAUCCAGCCAUGCCGCGUGUGUGAAGAAGGUCUUCGGAUUGUAAAGCACUUUAAGUUGGGAGGAAGGGUCGUAACCUAAUACGUUGCGGCUUUGACGUUACCGACAGAAUAAGCACCGGCUAACUUCGUGCCAGCCGCCGCGGUAAGAC
rnacentral:rRNA from 1 species